UUGAAUGGCCGCGGUAUCCUAACCGUGCAAAGGUAGCAUAAUCACUUGUCUACUAAAUAUAGACUUGUAUGAACGGCACCACGAGGGCUGCACUGUCUCCCCCUUUUAAUCAGUUAAACUGAUCUCCCCGUGAAGAAGCGGGGAUUAAAAUAUAAGACGAGAAGACCCCAUGGAGCUUUAAACUAAGAACCAACUGCCAAAUCUUAUACCAUUAUAUUCUGCAGCCAUGAAUCAAAGUUUUCGGUUGGGGCGACCACGGAGCACAGUAAAACCUCCACGAUAAACGAAUAUAAAACUCUUACCCAAGAACUACACCACAAAGGACCACUAGUGUGAUAUACAUUGACCCAAACACUUGAUCAACGAACCUAGUUACCCUGGGGAUAACAGCGCAAUCCAUUUCAAGAGCCCAUAUCGACAAAUGGGUUUACGACCUCGA
rnacentral:rRNA from 1 species